GAUCACUGCUAUUGGGGUUCGACUAAGCCAUGCGAGUCGAGAGGGUUUAGACCCUCGGCAAACGGCUCAGUAACACGUGGAUAAUCUGCCCUCAGGACAGGGAUAACCCCGGAAAACUGGGGAUAAUACCCGAUAGGUGGAGAAGUCUGGAACGGCUCUCCGCUCAAAUGCUCCGGCGCCUGAGGAUGAGUCUGCGACCGAUUAGGUUGUUGGCGGUGUAACGGACCACCAAGCCUAAGAUCGGUACGGGUGUUGAGAGACAGAGCCCGGAGAUGGGGACUGAGACACGGCCCCAGGCCCUACGGGGCGCAGCAGGCGCGAAAACUCCGCAAUACACGAAAGUGUGACGGGGGAACCCCAAGUGCAUUCACAUUAGUGAGUGCUUUUGUGAAGUGUAAAUAGCUUUACGAAUAAAAGCGGGGUAAGACCGGUGCCAGCCGCCGCGGUAACACCGGCCGCUUGAGUGGUGAUCACUAUUAUUGGGCCUAAAGCGUCCGUAGCCGGUUUGGUAAGUCCUUGGGCAAAUCCUGUCGCUUAACGGCAGGAAUUCUAGGGAUACUGCUAGACUUGAGGUCGAGAGAGGUCGGAGGUACUCCUGGGGUAGCGGUGAAAUGCUAUAAUCCUGGGGGGACCACCAGUGGCGAAAGCGUCCGACCAGAGCGAGCCUGACGGUAAGGGACGAAAGCCAGGGUAGCGAACGGGAUUAGAUACCCCGGUAGUCCUGGCCGUAAACGCUGUGGGCUAGGUGUUGCAUGCUCUACGAGGGCAUGCAGUGCCGAAGAGAAGUUGAUAAGCCUACCGCCUGGGAAGUACUAUCGCAAGAUAGAAACUUAAAGGAAUUGGCGGGGGAGCACCACAAGGGGUGAAGUCUGCGGUUCAAUUGGAUUCAACGCCGGAAAUCUCACUGGAAGCGACGGCAGGAUGAUGGCCAAGCUGAUGACUUUGCUUGACGAGCCGAGAGGAGGUGCAUGGCCGUCGUCAGCUCGUACCGUAAGGCGUCCUGUUAAGUCAGGCAACGAGCGAGACCCGU
rnacentral:rRNA from 1 species